rnacentral:rRNA from 1 species
CCUACGGGCGGCAGCAGUGGGGAAUAUUGCACAAUGGGGGAAACCCUGAUGCAGCGACGCCGCGUGAGUGAAGAAGUCUUUCGGGAUGUAAAGCUCUAUUAGCAGGGAAGAAAAUGACGGUACCUGAGUAAGAAGCCCAGGCUAACUACGUGCCAGCAGCCGCGGUAAUAAGCAGGGGGCAAGCGUUAUCCGGAUUUACUGGGUGUAAAGGGAGCGUAGACGGCAGCACAAGUCUGGAGUGAAAUGCCGGGGCUUAACCCCGGAACUGCUUUGGAAACUGUGCAGCUAGAGUGCAGGAGAGGUAAGUGGAAUUCCUAGUGUAGCGGUGAAAUGCGUAGAUAUUAGGAGGAACACCAGUGGCGAAGGCGGCUUACUGGACUGUAACUGACGUUGAGGCUCGAAAGCGUGGGGAGCAAACAGGAUUAGAUACCCCUGUAGUC